rnacentral:pre_miRNA from 15 species
CAUGUCCUUGCAUUCUGGGGUACUUGAAGAGAAGUUGUUCGUGGUGGAUUCGCUGUACUUGUGACGAAUCAUUCACGGACAACACUUUUUUCAGUACCAAAUGCUGCCUCCAAGGUGU